rnacentral:rRNA from 1 species
GAUGAACGCUGACAGAAUGCUUAACACAUGCAAGUCUACUUGAACUUCGGUUUGGGUGGCGGACGGGUGAGUAACGCGUAAAGAACUUGCCUCACAGUUAGGGACAACAUUUGGAAACGAAUGCUAAUACCUGAUAUUAUGAUUUUAGGGCAUCCUAAGAUUAUGAAAGCUAUAUACGCUGUGAGAGAGCUUUGCGUCCCAUUAGCUAGUUGGAGAGGUAACGGCUCACCAAGGCGAUGAUGGGUAGCCGGCCUGAGAGGGUGAACGGCCACAAGGGGCACUGAGACACGGCCCUUACUCCUACGGGAGGCAGCAGUGGGGAAUAUUGGACAAUGGACCAAAAGUCUGAUCCAGCAAUUCUGUGUGCACGAUGACGUUUUUCGGAAUGUAAAGUGCUUUCAGUUGGGAAGAAAAAAAUGACGGUACCAACAGAAGA